UACAGGGGGUGCAAACGUUGCUCGGAAUCAUUGGGCGUAAAGCGCACGUAGGCGGUUCGUUAUGUCGGAUGUGAAAGCCCUUGGCUUAACCGAGGAAGUGCAUCCGAAACUGGCGAGCUAGAGUACUAAAGAGGAUCGCGGAAUUCCCGGUGUAGAGGUGAAAUUCGUAGAUAUCGGGAGGAACACCUGUGGCGAAAGCGGCUCACUGGACCGCAACUGACGCUGAGGCGCGAAAGCUAGGGGAGCAAACAGG
rnacentral:rRNA from 1 species